UCAUCAGGCAUCUGUAUAGACAGCCUCGACUGGGCGAGGCCCCCCGGAGUCUCGCUUCCCUUCUGCCUUCCCCCUCCCCCCGCCCACUCGCCCGCCCGCCUCAAGCUCUGCUGCGGCGAGCGAGACUUCCUGGAAGGUUCUGUCAACCGAACUUGCUGCCUGGUCCCGCCCCCUGGCCUCAUGCGGAGGCCCUUCCUCAGACCGCCGUAGGGCUCUUUGGCCGCGGAGCGGAGCGAGCGUGUGGGCGUGGCUUGGUGGGCGCCGGAGGGAGGUUAGGUUGCACCGUCCAUGCUCGGCUGCCUUGUUCUCUCUCUCUCUCUCCCUGGGAGAGGGGAGGGGGGGCACGGGAGGGGGAAGGAAGGAAGGAAGGAGCGGCUCCUUCGAGGUGGGAUCGGGACCCUCAGAAAGCAGCUGUGUUCCUGUGCUGUUUACUUGGAAGUAAAUUCUGUUGGUGUUAGUAGGAUUUAAUCUCAGCCAGCUCUAGACGGGGGCCCUUCCUCCUUCAAGAGGCUUGGUCCUGCCCGAUCGGGACCCUAGGGAGAUAAUUUGGAAUCUCAUCCUGGGGAGAAGGAGCCCCGGCGCCCUCCUUGACUCGUCCAGGA
rnacentral:lncRNA from 1 species